CCCUUAGAUGUCCGGGGCCGCACGCGCGCUACACUGAAGGAAUCAGCGUGGCUUUCUCCCUGACCCGAAAGGGUUGGGAAACCCGUUGAAUCCCCUUCGUGAUAGGGAUUGGGGCUUGAAAUUGUUCCCCACGAACGAGGAAUUCCCAGUAAGCGCGAGUCAUAAGCUCGCGUUGAUUACGUCCCUGCCCUUUGUACACACCGCCCGUCGCUACUACCGAUUGAACGGUUUAGUGAGGGCCUCGGAUUGGUCUCGGCCCGCUCUUUACCGGGCGGCGCCGUUGGUCGAGAAGACGCUCGAACUUGAUCGUUUAGAGGAAGUAAAAGUCGUAACA
rnacentral:rRNA from 1 species